rnacentral:snoRNA from 11 species
AAAUGAUGACAAUGCGCAUUUGUCAGAAGGCUCACUUCUGAUGAUUCCUCUGUCCAUUCCCCUGAUCCU